CAGCAGCCACGGGAAUACGGAGGGUGCGAGCGUUAAUCGGAAUAACUGGGCGUAAAGGGCACGCAGGCGGUGACUUAAGUGAGGUGUGAAAGCCCCGGGCUUAACCUGGGAAUUGCAUUUCAUACUGGGUCGCUAGAGUACUUUAGGGAGGGGUAGAAUUCCACGUGUAGCGGUGAAAUGCGUAGAGAUGUGGAGGAAUACCGAAGGCGAAGGCAGCCCCUUGGGAAUGUACUGACGCUCAUGUGCGAAAGCGUGGGGAGCAAACAGGAUUAGAUACCCCAGUAGUCCCUGUCUCUUAUAC
rnacentral:rRNA from 1 species